rnacentral:lncRNA from 1 species
CACCUGCUUGGCCCCGCCCCGUCUGCAUCUCCCCUGCUUGCUCCUGCCCUGCCCUCACCCACCUGCUUGGCCCCCACUUCUGAUGCCCGCCUGCUCUGCCUGGCCCGGAGGAGGACCCCAGCUGCGCCAGGGAGGAAGGGCAGGGUCAGAGGCCCACAGUGGGAGGAGCCUCAGAAGUCACCAAGAAUGCAUGAGGAAUGGGGAAGCUGAGGCUGACCAAGGGAAGGGUGUGUGGCUGCUGUGAGAUCAGCAUCUGCGGGCCAGGGCUGGGCUGCUAGAACAGCCAGGCCACCACAGGCUUCCUGGCCAACAUCCUCCUUCAGGCCGGCUGUGGUGGCUCAUGCCUGUAAUCCAG